rnacentral:lncRNA from 1 species
GCUUUAACUAUGCUUGUAAUCUUGGCAUUUUAGUUGUGUCUAUGAAACACUUGAUAUUUAUGAAUGAUAAUAUUUUUGGUUUUGUUGUGCGUAAUUGUUAUUUGUAUCAGUAACUAAAAUUAAGCAACAAAUUAACUUUAACUAUGCUUGUAGAUUUUUCUUCAUUCUAGUGAAAUUUGCCCCUUAUUUCCAUAUAUUUCUUGCCACAUUCGAAACAUUGUUGUCAAACACUCUAUGUUUGUAUUUAAUUGUCAAAACGCCGGCUGAAGUAACCACACCCAACUUCAUUGUUAUUAGGCUAAAUACAACUAGAAUAAACACAAACUUAGUCACCAACAUAAAGGUUUAUCCUUCAUAAAAUCAAAAUGUAAUCACAUACCAUCCAGUCUCGAGAUCUCCAUAAUUUUCGACCUCUAUUUUGCACCAUUUUUUGUUAUUGUUAGAAGAACAUAUUGCUUCUUACACCAAUAAUUUGGAAUCACU